rnacentral:lncRNA from 1 species
UUGUUAUAAUUUAUAAUGAUGUAGUCUAUUUGAUUGUUGUAAUAAAUGCCGAAAUCUUUAAAAUUGAGAAUCUGUUAGAGUUUGAGAGAUUUUGACUUUUGUUUUUUAUUUUAAAGAAAAUUUAAAAAAGUUGUUGGAGAUUUUAGCUUGUUGCCGGGUCAAUUCUACUCCUUCCAUAAAUUAUUGACCUCUCACUCAAAAGAAAUGAGUCAAUAUGGGAAAUUAUUAUUUGUACCUGGAACACCAUCUGUUUUAUGUUCUCCUUUAAUCACAUUGGUCCACGUGUAUUAUUUUUAUUUCUGAUUGGUGUAUUUAAUUACUUUUCCUUUUUUUUUCACCCCAUGCCGGUCCCCACAUGAAUUUGAGUUAUAUGAUUGACCGGGUACACCACACAACAGUGCCAUGUGGUGUUCCGGGUACAGACAUCAUGCUCUCUACUCUUAAAGUAUGGAAUAUAGCCUGUCUUUUAAUUCCACUUGGUAAAAAUCCCAAACAAUAAUAACCAGUGAGCGACGCACUGAUAUUCCCGCAGCCACGAAAUAUAAACAAGUAUGCAGUGCCGGUCAAACUGGGUUAAUUAGUGCCCGGCGGUUCUACUUCUUAAUUCGAAUUUUAUAUAUAUACUGACAAAUAUCCCUUUCAAGCAUUUGGGUGCAUUUUCCACGAUCAACAAAAAAAAAAUGAAGUAUCCCUUUCUACAAAAAAAAAAAAAAGAAUACACUGACAAUAACACUGGCUAGAUAGCGUGAUAAUUUAUGCAACAAACAACAGAGUAGAUCGAAGACCAUCCAGGGUCCAGGCAAAGACUANNNNNNNNNNNNNNNNNNNNNNNNNNNNNNNNNNNNNNNNNNNNNNNNNNNNNAUCUGCCUAUCUUCUACCCCAGUGUUGAUCAUUCAAGACCUUUACAGUACAAUUACUUGUAUUACGAAGCAUCUAUAUCACUAAAGAGCAAUAACCUACAUGGGAACAUACCUUCUGAGAUUGGCCAAUCGCAGCUUCUAACAACUUUGUAUCUUAGCAACAACAACAUCUCCGGUAAUAUUCCAGAACAGAUAGCUAACCUCAAGGGCAUGCAGAUUUUGGAUCUCUCCAUGAACCAAUUGUCUGGAAACAUCCCAGCGUCUUUCACAAGUCUUCAUUUCUUAUCAAAAUUCAACGUCUCCUACAAUAAUCUUGAAGGGCCAAUACCAUCAAGUACUCAGCUCCAAAGUUUCGAUGCUUCUGCGUUUGAGGGGAAUCUGAAACUUUGUGGUGACCCACUUCCAAAUAAGUGUAAGAGAACCGAGGGCACUGAUGAACCUGAUAUGAAUAACACAGAUGCAGACAUGAAGGAGCGGCAAUUUCCAUGGUUCUAUGUUUCCGCUGCACUUGGGUUCUUUAUAGGAUUUUGGGGAGUCUUUGGUCCUUUAGUAUUUCUGCAGAAAUGGAGGUAUGCAUAUUACCAUUUCCUAGACAAUGUACAUGACAGGUUCAUGGUGAUGAUAGCAAAGAGUAUGGCCCGAGUGAAGAGAAGGUUUAUUAGAAGUUAGAUAGUACUCUUAUUGUGAGAAUCAAAAUAAACUAUCCAACACAUUUUCAUUGUAAAACAUGAGAUUUCGACAUAUUUACUCAUAAUUCAUAAGGUACCAUAGUCAUGAUGUAUUUACCAUUGUCAUGAAAACCAGUUAUCAUAGCAAGGAGCGAAGAGGAGAUUGAACCACACCAUGAUGAAUUGACUAGAAAAUAAUAAAUCUUGAUUAGAUAGAAGGGUCUAGUUCAAAGGACACUUUUUUACACCUAUUUGAAACCGUACGUUAGAUUAUAUAAAGUUUAAUGGUCUAGAUUAAUUGCAAAUUUGACAUCAACACACAAUAAGAUGACAUGGUAAAUGACAUGGAAUUUGAAAUGUCAUAUUUAGAAAUAAACUCAUAAUAAUCAAAAACAAGAAAACCAAAACAGUAGAACAUGAUCAAACAGAAAAAAAAAAAAAAAAAAAACAAGAAGCAGAACAAAACGCUAGAACGCAAAAGGAGAUUUAGCUUGUGAAAGCAUUGGAUUUAUAUAAAGAUUCAGAUGGAAGAGGCCAAGAUAACAUAGCUAAUUAAAUGUGAUCUGGGCUAUUCACCCUUAAUUUGGAAUGGUUAAAUGUUUGCCAAAUCUCUUUCCCCAGGUUCAAUUUUCAAACGAAGAAGAAAUGAGUUUGAAAUUGAGAAUCUGUUAGAGUUUGAGAGAUUUUAACUUUUGUUUUUUUAUUUUAAAGAAAUUUAAAAAAGUUGUUGGAGAUUUUAGCUUGUUGCCAGGUCAAUUCUACUCCUUCCAUAAAUUAUUGACCUCUCACUCAAAAGAAAUGAGUCAUCAUUCCCUCUCCGAUAUGGGAAAUUAUUAUUUGUACCUGGAACACCAUCUGUUUUAUAUUCCCCUUUAAUCUCAUUGGUCCACGUGUAUUAUUUUUAUUUCUGAUUGGUGUAUUUAGUUACUUUUCUCUUUUUUUUUCACCCCCUGCUGGUCCCCACAUGAAUUUGAGUUAUAUGAUUGGCCGGGUAUACCACACGACAGUACCACGUGGUGUUCCAGGUACAUACAUCAUGCUCUCUACUCUUAAAGUAUGGAAUAUAGCCUGUCUUUUAAUUCCACUUGGUAAAAAUCCCAAACAAUAAUAACCAGUGAGCGACGCACUGAUAUUCCCGCAGCCACGAAAUAUAAACUAGUAUGCAGUGCCGGUCAAACUGGGUUAAUUAGUGCCCGGCGGUUCUACUUCUUAAUUCGAAUUUUAUAUAUAUACUGACAAAUAUCCCUUUCAAGCAUUUGGGUGCAUUUUCCACGAUCAACAAAAAAAAUGAAGUAUCCCUUUCUCAAAAA